rnacentral:rRNA from 1 species
GGUUAACGCUGGCGGCGUGCCUAACACAUGCAAGUCGAACGGUUCUAAGCGCGAGCUUAGGAUAGUGGCGAACGGGUGAGUAAAAGGUAGGAAUCUACCCCUUGGACGGAGAUAGCUACUGGAAACGGUAGGUAAACUUCGAUAAGCCCGAGAGGGGAAAGUGGUGAGACAGCCGAGGGAUGAGCCUACUCUCCAUCAGGUAGUUGGUGAGAUAAAAGCUUACCAAGCCGAUGACGGAUAACCGGUGUGAGAGCAUGAACGGUCACAAGGGCACUGAGAGACGGGCCCUACUCCUACGGGAGGCAGCAGUGGGGAAUCUUGGACAAUGGGCGAAAGCCUGAUCCAGCGACGCCGCGUGGAGGAAGAAGUCCUUCGGGAUGUAAACUUCUGAACUAGCCGAAUAAAAGGACCUGUGGACACACAGGAGAAGAAAGUAAGGCUAGGAAAAGUACCCGGACUAACUACGUGCCAGCAGCCGCGGUAAUAUAAGCGUACU